CACGAGACGCCGGCGUUACUAUAAGAGCGCAGCCGUGGCGCUUGCGCGCCUCUUUCUCAGUGACCGGCUGGUUUGCUCAGGCGCAGACGGGGAAGCGGAGCCAACAUGCCAGUGGCCCGGAGCUGGGUUUGUCGCAAAACUUAUGUGACCCCGCGGAGACCCUUCGAGAAAUCUCGUCUCGACCAAGAGCUGAAGCUGAUCGGCGAGUAUGGGCUCCGGAACAAACGUGAGGUCUGGAGGGUCAAAUUUACCCUGGCCAAGAUCCGCAAGGCCGCUCGGGAACUGCUGACGCUUGAUGAGAAGGACCCACGGCGUCUGUUCGAAGGCAAUGCCCUGCUGCGGCGGCUGGUCCGCAUUGGGGUGCUGGAUGAGGGCAAGAUGAAGCUGGAUUACAUCCUGGGCCUGAAGAUAGAGGAUUUCUUAGAGAGACGCCUGCAGACCCAGGUCUUCAAGCUGGGCUUGGCCAAGUCCAUCCACCACGCUCGCGUGCUGAUCCGCCAGCGCCAUAUCAGGUACCACCUCGGAUGGGCACCUGAAUCUUCCUCCACCUGCCCCUCUGAUGGUUGCCCUCACUAAGCCUGCUGUCCCUAUCUCCUAUGCAGCCCUCGGAGGUGAUGGGUGUGAAUUCACCCAGAGGGUACAGAUUCACCCUUGCACACAGCUCACCAGGGAGCUGGGGCAGCCUCAUGCCCCAAUAGCCCAGCGCAAGGGUCACUGCGGCUCUAGCCGUACACCUUGUGAAGGCCUCUGCCAGGCAUGUGGGCAGCUGGACAGGUAACAGCUCUUGGUGUCCCCAGUGGAGGGAGAGAACCAGCCUCACCUCGCUUGGGUGGUGGGUUCAGCUGUCUCCUGGCUCGCUUGUGAAGUUGAUUCCAGACCCCGAUCCAUGACUGCGUU
rnacentral:sRNA from 1 species